rnacentral:rRNA from 1 species
GGAGCCGUAGCGAAAGCGAGUUUUAACUGAGCGUUCAGUUACUUGACGUAGACCCGAAACCGGGCGACCUACCCAUGAGCAGGAUGAAGCGAAAGUAAAAUUUCGUGGAGGUCCGAACCCACGAGCGUUGAAAAGCUCGGGGAUGACUUGUGGGUAGCGGUGAAAUUCCAAUCGAGCCCGGAGAUAGCUGGUUCUCCCCGAAAUAGCUUUAGGGCUAGCCUCAAGGUGAGAGAUACGGAGGUAGAGCACUGAAUGUCCUAGGGGGUAUUGCACCUACCGAAGACUAUCAAACUCCGAAUGCCGUCAUCUUAUACUUGGGAGUCAGACUGUGGGUGAUAAGAUUCAUAGUCGAAAGGGCAACAGCCCAGAUCGUCAGCUAAGGUCCCUAAAUGUAAGUUAAGUGGUAAAGGAUGUGGGAUUGCACAGACAACCAGGAUGUUGGCUUAGAAGCAGCCACUCAUUCAAAGAGUGCGUAAUAGCUCACUGGUCGAGUGAUCCUGCGCCGAAGAUUUCCGGGGCUAAAACUUACUACCGAAGCUACGGCAUCAGUAAUGAUGGGUAGGGGAGCUUCCCAUACGGGUUGAAGCAUGACCGUAAGGACAUGUGGACAGUAUGGGAGUGAGAAUGUUGGCAUGAGUAGCGAGAUGUGGGUGAGAAUCCCACAGGCCGUAAACCCAA